UACGGAGGGUGCGAGCGUUGUCCGGAAUCACUGGGCGUAAAGGGCGCGUAGGCGGCUCAUGAAGGCUGUGGUGAAAGUCCGGGGCUCAACCUCGGAUCGGCCGUGGCGACUCGUGGGCUGGAGCACUGUAGAGGCGGGUGGAAUUCCGGGUGUAGCGGUGAAAUGCGUAGAGAUCGGGAGGAACACCAGUGGCGAAGGCGGCCUUCUGGACCAAUACUGACGCUCAUGCACGAAAGCGUGGGGAGCAAACAGG
rnacentral:rRNA from 1 species